UACAGAGGUCCCAAGCGUUGUUCGGAUUCACUGGGCGUAAAGGGUGCGUAGGCGGUCGGGUAAGUCUGAUGUGAAAUCUCACAGCUUAACUGUGAAACUGCAUUGGAUACUAUCCGGCUAGAGGAAUGGAGGGGAGACGUGGAAUACUUGGUGUAGCAAGUGAAAUGCGUAGAUAUCAAGUGGAACACCAGUGGCGAAGGCGAGUCUCUGGACAUUUCCUGACGCUGAGGCACGAAAGCCAGGGGAGCAAACGGG
rnacentral:rRNA from 1 species